UGGGGAAUUUUGGACAAUGGGCGAAAGCCUGAUCCAGCAAUGCCGCGUGUGUGAAGAAGGCCUUCGGGUUGUAAAGCACUUUUGUCCGGAAAGAAAUCCUUGGCUCUAAUACAGUCGGGGGAUGACGGUACCGGAAGAAUAAGCACCGGCUAACUACGUGCCAGCAGCCGCGGUAAUACGUAGGGUGCAAGCGUUAAUCGGAAUUACUGGGCGUAAAGCGUGCGCAGGCGGUUGCUAAGACCGAUGUGAAAUCCCCGGGCUCAACCUGGGAACUGCAUUGGUGACUGGCAGGCUAGAGUAUGGCAGAGGGGGGUAGAAUUCCACGUGUAGCAGUGAAAUGCGUAGAGAUGUGGAGGAAUACCGAUGGCGAAGGCAGCCCCCUGGGCCAAUACUGACGCUCAUGCACGAAAGCGUGGGGAGCAAACAGGAUUAGAUACCCUGGUAGUCCACGCCCUAAACGAUGUCAACUAGUUGUUGGGGAUUCAUUUCCUUAGUAACGUAGCUAACGCGUGAAGUUGACCGCCUGGGGAGUACGGUCGCAAGAUUAAAACUCAAA
rnacentral:rRNA from 1 species